UACGAAGGGGGCUAGCGUUGUUCGGAUUUACUGGGUGUAAAGCGCACGUAGGCGGAUCUUUAAGUCAGAGGUGAAAUCCCAAGGCUCAACCUUGGAACUGCCUUUGAUACUGGGGAUCUUGAGUCCGGGAGAGGUGAGUGGAACUGCGAGUGUAGAGGUGAAAUUCGUAGAUAUUCGCAAGAACACCAGUGGCGAAGGCGGCUCACUGGCCCGGUACUGACGCUGAGGUGCGAAAGCGUGGGGAGCAAACAGG
rnacentral:rRNA from 1 species